rnacentral:pre_miRNA from 1 species
CAAUGUUUUGACUCUUCAUCUUAUUUGAAACUUCUUUUUAAUAUUUUUAUUGUUACUAGAUGAUAAAAUAUUAAUAUUAUUUUAUGCGUGACUAAUUUUUUUAUGUUUUUUACAAAUAAGACGAAUGGUCAAAACGUUUGACACAAAAUC